AAACAUGUCUUUUUGAAUUAUAUUUAAAGUUUGACCUGCCCACUGAAUAAGUUUAAAUGGCCGCAGUAUAUUGACUGUGCAAAGGUAGCAUAAUCAUUAGUCUUUUAAUUGAAGGCUGGUAUGAAUGGUUGGACGAAGUAUAAGCUGUUUCAUAUAAAUUUAUAAUAGAAUUUUAUAUUUUAGUUAAAAAGCUAAAAUUUUAUUAAAAGACGAGAAGACCCUAUAAAUCUUUAUACUUAAUAUUAACUAAAUUUUUUUGAUUUAUUUUAUUUUUUUAAUAUUAAUUAUUUUGUUGGGGUGAUAUUAAAAUUUAAUGAACUUUUAAUUUUUUUUAAAUCAUUAAUUUAUGAGUUAUUGAUCCAUUAAUAGUGAUUAUAAGAUUAAGUUACUUUAGGGAUAACAGCGUAAUUUUUUUUGAGAGUUCAUAUCGACAAAAAAGUUUGCGACCUCGAUGUUGGAUUAAGGUAUAAUUUUGGGUGUAGCUGUUCAAAAAUUAAGUCUGUUCGACUUUUAAAUCCUUACAUGAU
rnacentral:rRNA from 1 species